AUUGAACGCUGGCGGCAGGCCUAACACAUGCAAGUCGAGCGAGCGGCGGCCGGGUGAGUAAUGUAUGUGGACUGCCUGAUGGAGGGGGCUAACUACUGGCAACGGUAGCUACUACCGCAUACCAUCGGAUAACCCAUAUGGGAGUAGCUUGUAGGCGUGGUAAAGGCGCACCACGGCGACGAUCUCGAGCUGGUCUGAGAGGAUGAGCAGCAAAACUGGGACUGAGACACGGACCAGACGCCCAGGGAGGCAGCAGUGGGGAAUAUUGCACGAUGGGGGAAAGCCGGAGGCAGCCAUGCCGCGUGUAUGAAGAAGGCCUUAGGGUUGUAAAGUACUUUCAGCUGGGAGGCGUUAACCGCAGAAGAAGCACCGGCUAACUCCGUGCCAGCAGCCGCGGUAAUAC
rnacentral:rRNA from 1 species